GACGAACGCUGGCGGCGUGCUUAACACAUGCAAGUCGAACGAUGAAGCCGGAGCUUGCUCUGGUGAAUUAGUGGCGAACGGGUGAGUAACACGUGAGUAACCUGCCCUUGACUCUGGGAUAACUGCGGGAAACUGUAGCUAAUACCGGAUACGACCCUCGGAGGCAUCUCCUGGGGGUGGAAAGAAUUUCGGUCAAGGAUGGAAUCGCGGCCUAUCAGCUAGUUGGUGAGGGAAAGGCUCACCAAGGCGACGACGGGUAGCCGGCCUGAGAGGGUGACCGGCCACACUGGGACUGAGACACGGCCCAGACUCCUACGGGAGGCAGCAGUGGGGAAGAUUGCACAAUGGGCGCAAGCCUGAUGCAGCAACGCCGCGUGAGGGAUGACGGCCUUCGGGUUGUAAACCUCUUUUAGUAGGGAAGAAGCGAAAGUGACGGUACCUGCAGAAAAAGCACCGGCUAACUACGUGCCAGCAGCCGCGGUAA
rnacentral:rRNA from 1 species